rnacentral:rRNA from 1 species
UUCGGCGACCAUGGCGAAGGGGAAACACCCGGUUACAUUCCGAACCCGGAAGUUAAGCCCUUCAGCGCCGAUGGUACUGCACGGGAGACUGUGUGGGAGAGUAGGACGUCGCCGGAC